CGAAAGCGAGUCUUAAUAGGGCGUCGAGUUCGUGGGAUCAGACCCGAAACCGAGUGAUCUAGGCAUGGCCAGGUUGAAGGUUGGGUAACACCAACUGGAGGACCGAACCCACAUCCGUUGAAAAGGAUCGGGAUGAGCUGUGCCUAGGGGUGAAAGGCCAAUCAAACUCGGAUAUAGCUGGUUCUCCGCGAAAUCUAUUUAGGUAGAGCGUCGAUCGAAUACUCUUGGGGGUAGAGCACUGACUGGGCUAGGGGUCCUCACCGGAUUACCAAACCUUAUCAAACUCCGAAUACCAAGAAGUACUAAUCGGCAGACACACGGCGGGUGCUAACGUCCGUCGUGGAGAGGGAAACAACCCUGACCACCAAUUAAGGUCCCCAAAUAAUGGCUAAGUGUGAAAGGAUGUGGGAUUGCUUUGACAAUGAGGAGGUUGGCUUAGAAGCAGCCAUCCUUUAAAGAAAGCGUAACAGCUCACUGGUCUAAAUCUAAGCUGUCCUGCGCCGAAGAUGUACCGGGGCUAAAGCCGUGUACCGAAGCUGCGGAUGUGACAACUCUUCGGGGUUGUCACGUGGUAGCGGAGCGUUCCGUAGGCCGAUGAAGGUCACCUGUAAGGGUGGCUGGAGGUAUCGGAAGUGCGAAUGCUGACAUGAGUAACGAGACGAGUGUGAGAAACACUCGCGCCGAAAGUCCAAGGGUUCCUCAGCAAGGCUAAUC
rnacentral:rRNA from 1 species